rfam:Spiroplasma sabaudiense Ar-1343, complete genome.
UCUGGUGCUCAUAGCGUAGAGGUCGCACCUGUUCCCAUGCCGAACACAGAAGUUAAGCUCUACUGCGGCGACGAUAGUACGAAAGUGCAAAAUAGCACAGUGCCAGUU